GACGAACGCUGGCGGCGUGCCUAAUACAUGCAAGUAGAACGCUGAAGGAGGAGCUUACUUCUCCGGAUGAGUUGCGAACGGGUGAGUAACGCGUAGGUAACCUGCCUGGUAGCGGGGGAUAACUAUUGGAAACGAUAGCUAAUACCGCAUAACAGUAGAUAUUGCAUGAUAUCUGCUUGAAAGGUGCAAUUGCAUCACUACCAGAUGGACCUGCGUUGUAUUAGCUAGUUGGUGAGGUAACGGCUCACCAAGGCGACGAUACAUAGCCGACCUGAGAGGGUGAUCGGCCACACUGGGACUGAGACACGGCCCAGACUCCUACGGGAGGCAGCAGUAGGGAAUCUUCGGCAAUGGACGGAAGUCUGACCGAGCAACGCCGCGUGAGUGAAGAAGGUUUUCGGAUCGUAAAGCUCUGUUGUAAGAGAAGAACGAGUGUGAGAGUGGAAAGUUCACACUGUGACGGUAUCUUACCAGAAAGGGACGGCUCACUACGUGCCAGCAGCCGCGGUAAUACGUAGGUCCCGAGCGUUGUCCGGAUUUAUUGGGCGUAAAGCGAGCGCAGGCGGUUAGAUAAGUCUGAAGUUAAAGGCUGUGGCUUAACCAUAGUACGCUUUGGAAACUGUUUAACUUGAGUGCAAGAGGGGAGAGUGGAAUUCCAUGUGUAGCGGUGAAAUGCGUAGAUAUAUGGGAGGAACACCGGUGGCGAAAGCGGCUCUCUGGCUUGUAACUGACGCUGAGGGUCGAAAGCGUGGGGAGCCAACGGG
rnacentral:rRNA from 1 species